GGAAUCAACAGCGCAAACCGGGACCGCACCUGGAGAACCGAGGCGCGCUGCACUCACCGCUGUUAUCGCUCAGUUCAGCUGAAUUCAUGUUAUUAUUGUGAGUGAGAGGAGGAUGAUGAUGGAGUUCCGCUUCCUCGUGCUGUGUAUCACCGUGCUGCUGCAGUCGGUACCGGAGAGAGCGCGAGCUUCACCUGAUGAGCUGUUGGUGAUCACCGCGGCGACAGAGGAGACAGACGGUUUUAAGAGGUUCAUGAGAACAGCGCGUCAGUUUAACUACAUGGUGAAGGUGGGUCUUUAUUUCUGUUCAUGGUACCUGGUGGAGGUGAUGUGUGUUAUACAGUGUGUAGGUGCUUGGUCUGGGUGAAGAAUGGAGAGGAGGUGAUGUAGCUAAGACUGUUGGUGGAGGACAGAAGGUUCACUGGUUAAAGAAGGAAAUGCAAAAACACAAAGAUAAAUCCAACACGGUCGUCAUGUUCGUGGACAGGUUUUUCAAGGUGGAAGGGCUCCAAUCUUGAAUGAUAAGUCAGAAGAAUGUCAACCGACCUGUUCACAUCUUGUUCAAUCGAUUCAGGUUCCUCGUCUCGUGGAUCUGUGGGUCGUGUGCUGCCCACCUUGGCCACGAACGGAUCUUCUGCUCCAGGUCUGACUCGGAUCAUGUCCUGCUGAAAUAAAUAAAUAAAAGG